rnacentral:rRNA from 1 species
CACGUAGGGUGCGAGCGUUGUCCGGAAUUAUUGGGCGUAAAGAGCUCGUAGGCGGUGUGUCGCGUCGGCCGUGAAAACCUGGGGCUUAACUCUGGGCGUGCGGUCGAUACGGGCAUCACUGGAGUUCGGCAGGGGAGACUGGAAUUCCUGGUGUAGCGGUGAAAUGCGCAGAUAUCAGGAGGAACACCGGUGGGCGAAGGCGGGGUCUCUGGGCCGAUACUGACGCUGGAGG